CUCCGACAUGACGCAUGUCGUGUCGGGAAAGAUUCAUCGGUAUGGGAUGGGGUCGCGUCCUAUCAGCUUGAUGGCGGGGUAACGGCCCACCAUGGCUUCGACGGGUAGCCGGCCUGAGAGGGCGACCGGCCACAUUGGGACUGAGAUACGGCCCAGACUCCUACGGGAGGCAGCAGUGGGGAAUAUUGCACAAUGGGCGCAAGCCUGAUGCAGCGACGCCGCGUGCGGGAUGACGGCCUUCGGGUUGUAAACCGCUUUUGACUGGGAGCAAGCCCUUCGGGGUGAGUGUACCUUUCGAAUAAGCACCGGCUAACUACGUGCCAGCAGCCGCGGUAAUACGUAGGGUGCAAGCGUUAUCCGGAAUUAUUGGGCGUAAAGGGCUCGUAGGCGGUUCGUCGCGUCCGGUGUGAAAGUCCAUCGCUUAACGGUGGAUCCGCGCCGGGUACGGGCGGGCUUGAGUGCGGUAGGGGAGACUGGAA
rnacentral:rRNA from 1 species